AUGACACUGACCUUACUGGGGUCAGGCCUGCUUCCUGACUCUAUGACUCCAUAUCCCAGGAAUUAAAGUUACCCUCCCUAUGACUGGCUUUGAGCCAGCUCAAAGACAAGCUCAGCCCCUUGCCUUAACUGCCUGGAGAUUUCCUGUAAAUCUCUUAAAUGCUGAAGAAAAAUCUUCGAAACCUCGUAACGUCAACAGUUGUAGUAAUGAAUCCUGUCCCAUCUACUUUUGUGAAAUGCUGGGGUGUAGUCAGCAGGGAGACCCCACAUCAGACUGGCAGUCCCCAGUGUCGUGCACAGCAGGCCUCCCCUCAGAGUCCCUGACUGAUGAGGUCAGUGCCUCACCAUGGAGUCAUUGUCUUCAGAUCCUCCUUUCUAGAGAAUUCCUUCCUCUAAUGCCGAGCUCUGUCUUUGGGAGCCUUCUGCCUCUCCAGUGGGCCAUUAUUCUGCGUCCACUAUGCUGGCUUGUUCCGUUAAGGGUUCAGAUUCCCGAGGUUCCAGCCGUUGCUUCAGAGACCAGAUUCGCCCCUUUUCCGCCUCAACUCAUGACACACCUGUGUCCUCAGGAGAUCUUGGAUUUCUAGAAUGCCACCUCAAAACCGAGUUUGGAACACGUAAUGUGGUGGGGGUAUUUUUAAAUGUGUCUACUUAUAUGUUUGAGAUGAUUGCAGUACCACUUUGCCAAACCAGUGUGAUCAAAAGUUGAUCUUUGACAAGCUGUUAGGCAAAACAUGUAUCUCUCUGCGUGAGUCGGCGCAUUGGCAUUUCCUUUUCUGUAAACUGUUUCUUCGUGUUAAGGGUAGUUUUGAUAAAUCCAUUUGGAAGAGAGUCGGGUUCACAGAGGUCACCAACUGGGAAACAUUUUAAGAAGGAGAGGAAAAGAGCCAAGUGAGCUUUAUGAAAGAAAAAUAAACUCAAGAACGAUUUCUUUUUCUAAAGAAACCACUGUAUCUGGAUUAUGCCCUGUCAAUAUGCCAGGUAUGCACAGAUGGUUCUUCAGUCUGAUGGAUUGACAUUUCUUCCCCUGGAUUGUGAUAGAAAAACCUUUCCCUCGCAGACCUGGAACUCACAAUGACAUUCUAGCAUUACUAGAGUAUGUUUUCAUUGCAAAUUGCAUGUAAAACCCAUUGUUUCAUUGCAAAUAAAAGUUUAGAUUUACUGUGAUGUGACCACAAUGUGAUAUUUUCAUCCAUAAAGCCCUCGGUUACUUCCUUGCUUUAGUGCACCAGGCUGAAGGGAG
rnacentral:lncRNA from 1 species